GCCAGGACCUUUCCGAAGCGUCGAGUGGCCUAACGGUCACAGCUGUCGCCCAUCGGAGAGGCAGGACUACUGCGAGCAGUUUUACCGCGACCUCCGGAGGCCGGCGUGACAGGCUCUGUCACUAAAAUAGGUAAAAACAAGAAUACCUACUUAUGAUGAAGAUGACAACACUAUUCUUUAUGCGUAUGAAACAAAACCUGAAUUUGUCAAUAAAGAACCGAAUAUUGUAUCUGACGCAUCCUGUAAUACUGAAGAGCAACUGAGGACAGUUAAUGAUGUCCUUCUUCAUUGCCAGGUUAUAUAUGAUGCUCUGCAAAACCUGGAUAAGAAGACUGAUGUGAUUCGUAGAAAGGUUUCAAAAAUCCAACGUUUCUAUGCGAGAUCCCUGUGGACAAAUCGUGUAAGUGUUAUAAAAAACAUUUUUACAACUGUGAUAAACCUCUGGUUUGUAAAGAUGCCAAUGAGCUAGAAGUGAGAGAGUACCAGUAUCUGUGUGAGAUUAACAAGGCAUGUCUAUACUUGUAGCAGUAGAUGGAGACUAAACUCUGUUGGGAGAACGCUGAAGUUUAGGUUUGAUAAUUUAUGAUGCUGCCUAUUUUUAUGUUUGUAAUUAUAAUGUGUAAAAUACAAUUAAAAUGUAGGAUUGAAGAAUUAUAUAAUCAAAAGGGACCAUUUAUUUUUAAUGUAAAGCAAUGUUGCAUGGAAAAUAAGUAUUAAUGUAUUUGCUACUAAUUUUAUUUACUUUUUUUACUCACUGUUGGUUUAUGCUGUGUUUGUGUGAUUUCAGAAGCGAUCUGGAUAUAAAAAGCAUUCUUACCGGCUUGUUAAAAAGCUUAAACUCCAG
rnacentral:sRNA from 1 species